AAGAAAAAAAAAAAAGUCAUCCACCCUCCCACUGGGUGUGGUUUGCUUCUAAUAUAGUCGACUGUGAUCGUGACUAGGCGUUUCACUUCUUGAAGCUGAGCACUGAGUUUACAUCUCAGCAGCUGCAAACCAUGGCCACAGUCACUGUUGAAUACUGUAAAGGAUGAAGUUAUGCUUUUCGCUACCGGGAUCUAGCUGGUCUCCUCCGGCAGGUUCCUGGUGUGAAAGUAACAGGACUCACAGGAGAAGACGACAGUUUUGAGGUGUCAGUGAAUGGUGAGCUAAUCUACUCCAAGCUGAAGACGGGAGAGUUUCCUGAUAAUGAAGAGCUGACAGAGAAGGUGAGAGCGAUGGUUCCAAACACGAAAGGAACGAAAAAGAACUGGAAACAGAGAUGCUCUACCCAAUAGGAGAUGGAGGAUGAAACGCCAGCUGUAUUUGCACUGACAGACUGAUGUUCUUAUUUGUUUGUGUUUCCUUGUUCUCUAUCCAAAGAAAUUAACAUAAGCAUCAAAGAAAGGGACGUUAACACAUUUUGUUAAUUAAAAGUGUCACAGAUCAGACAACUUGUUUGCUGUGAAUGCACACACAGAUGAGAUGCUGAUGGGAGCCCAUCAGAGGUCCUGACUGCUGAUCUGCGCUCCUGUUUAUGAAUGCACACACUAAAAACUGCAUGUGGUGUGUGCACGAUGCCACUGGAGAAGCUUUUCAGCUGACAUUGGCCUGAAGAUGUGCUCUCAUCAGGUCUGUCUAGCACAGGUUAUUAAUAAACUUAUCUAAGUUUAGUUUACAUUCAUCAUUUGGAUUUUCCCUUUUUAGAUAAACAAAAACAUUGUUUCUGUGCCUUGAAUAGAAUAAUUGUGAAUGAGGAGACUGAUGUCACUCAUAUGUACCUGCCUUAGGAUAGCGCACACAGGUGAACAGCACCUUGGGUAGCCCCUUGAUUAUUAUGCUUGUUUAAUAGAAACUUCAAUUUAUGAGAAAACGAGUGUCAUGUUUUAACGCUGAGCUGCACGUCAGCUGUUACAAAAUGGUUUUUUGAACACUGUCGAAUACUCGCAGACUGUUUUAAUUCAGAUCUGCUGCUGUGGUCUCUGCACACUUCCUGUCGUCUGUGGUGCUCUGCAUAUAUUCCUGAAGCGCUAUAUAGUAAAUGUGUCAAGCAAACAGGAAGUGCAGUUGAGUUUUAAAUAGUUUUGAAGUGUAGCUGAAAAAGUGUAGCUGAAAAAAACACACAUUUUAUCACAUCUUUGAAAUGUGCACAAAGAUCCGAUCAUCACAGUUUUGUGCCCCAUAGUGUAUUGUGUGAAAAAACAAACAAACAUGAAAGAUGGGUUAAGCUAACUAGCGGCUAGCUGCAGCUUCACAGUGAUGGUGCAGACAUGAGAGUGACAUCCAUCUCCUAAUCCAGUAGGUCUCAAACCUCUUUCUAGCGUGCCACAAAUCUCACAACAGUUUAACAUUCAUUAAGAAUAAGACAUAUCUAAGCUGAAUUUCACUUAAAAUAAGCUUCAGAUUAGCAUUUGUAGCAUUAGCAGCCUCAGCAGCACUUUAUAAUAAUGUCACACUAUUAACCAUUAAUAUAGCAUGGUGAGAUAUUAGAAGUGUUUAAUUCAUCAUUUAUAUAGCAUUAUCUGCCGUGGUAUGUCAUUUAUAUACAGAAAUGUUUAUCCAUCUGUUACUGUUACCCUUGUAUAGCUAACACUGCUACUACUUCACUGCUAACAAUAAUCACAGUCAUAAUAAUAUAUGUGCAUUUAUAAAUGGCAUGCUAAGGAGGAGCAAUGCUUCAUAAAUGAUGAAUUAAGCACUUGCUAAUACCUUAAUAAUGCUUAAUAGUGUGACAUUAUUAUUAAGUGCUACCACAAACUGUCUGUUUAUCCCCUCCCCCUCUCAACUGGCCACCCUUGCCACACAAUAGUGCCCUGCCGCACUGUUUGAGAAACACUGUAACAUUACCUGAUAAGCAAGAGAAGUUUCAAGAGUUGAAUAGUUUUUCUUUUUUAUCUUUCUUUUAUUUAGUGAGCCUUCCAUUGUAACAUUUUUAAAGAAGCUGAGAUAACAUGAGAUACUUCGUGAACUUUUUUUUUUUUUCUAGCAGGUAUUUUAUUUUAAUGAUAUGUCAUGUAUAUGUUUUAUACUUUGCCACAUAUAAAAAAGCACAUGGGACUAUUAUUUUGAUAGACCUGCGUGGUGAGUGCACUGUCAUCUAAAGGUUUUAGACAGAUUUUGAAUUAGUGACACGUAUUUAAUAUAUUUUUCAAACACAUUAGCUUUGUUGUUCAUGUUUGCAGCUCUCUUUUUUUCAAAAAUGAAAUAAAAACAAAGAAAUCACUGUUCAAUCUCUGAUUUGCUUGACUGAAGCGAUUUUCACACCACUCAGUGGUAAGUUGUUUGUUAAAAAGGCUGCAGAGGCCUAGCUGUACCCGGGCUGAUGUCAUCCGCAGGAUAAUAUUAUCAGUCACUGCAAUGAAAGGAAAAACUUUCUCAGCUGACUGUCAUAUGUGAUAAAUGAUAAAUGAUAUUAGUCUAAAUAUACACAAGCUGUGUUAUGUGAUAUAUUUGUUUAUAUAUGAUACAGCAAACCAAAAAAACCCAUAUAUUUAAAUAUUUUAUGACUUUUUAAAAAUCUUAUUGUAUUAUACACAUUCAACCCUGAAAUGAAGCAUUAUCAAAGUAAAGUCUCACUAUUGUCAUUUUUUAAAUGUUGUCUUUGUUUUCCACUGUGCGAAAGGAUUAAAUCUAAAGCUUCGCCUCUC